GGCCGCCUGGCGAAAUGGCAUCGCGUCUGACUACGAUGAUGGAAGCGAAUUCAACGUGAUCAGGAGAUUGCAGGUUCGACCCCUGCGGUGGUCA